UACGUAGGGGGCAAGCGUUGUCCGGAUUUAUUGGGCGUAAAGAGCGUGUAGGCGGCUGGGUAGGUCCGUUGUGAAAACUUGAGGCUCAACCUCGAGACGCCGAUGGAAACCCUCCAGCUAGAGUCCGGAAGAGGAGAGUGGAAUUCCUGGUGUAGCGGUGAAAUGCGCAGAUAUCAGGAAGAACACCCGUGGCUAAGGCGGCUCUCUAGUACGGUACUGACGCUGAGACGCGAAAGCGUGGGGAGCGAACAGG
rnacentral:rRNA from 1 species